GGGUAUCUGAUGCUUAUUGCACCACAUGUGUUUUUCUUUGAACAAACUUGCUUUGGCGGUGGGCCCAGCCUGCCGCCAGAGGUCUAAACUUACAACCAAUUUUUUAUCAACUUGUCACACCAGAUUAUUACUAAUAGUCAAAACUUUCAACAACGGAUCUCUUGGUUCUCGCAUCGAUGAAGAAACGCAGCGAAAUGCGAUACGUAAUAUGAAUUGCAGAUAUUCGUGAAUCAUCGAAUCUUUGAACGCACAUUGCGCCCUCUGGUAUUCCGGAGGGCAUGCCUGUUUGAGCGUCGUUUCUCCCUCAAACCGCUGGGUUUGGUGUUGAGCAAUACGACUUGGGUUUGCUUGAAAGACGGUAGUGGUAAGGCGGGAUCGCUUUGACAAUGGGUUAAGUCUAACCCAAAACAUUGGCUUGGCGCCGGAACCGCCCCCACCGAUAUCUUCCAAAUUUGGACCUCAAUCCAGGAAGGACUACCCGCCUGACCUUGAGGAUCAUUACAGAUUUACGUAAUUGCACCACAUGUGUUUUUCUUUGAAACAAACUUGCUUUGGCGGUGGGCCCAGCCUGCCGCA
rnacentral:rRNA from 1 species